rnacentral:rRNA from 1 species
AUGGACAUCGGGGUGCCGGCGGCGCUGCUGCCGUUCGCGCGAUCGACGACGGAGCGGAUGGUGGAGGCUUGGACGGGCGUGGUGAGGACGGUGCACCUGACGCCGCGAGCGGCGAAGAGCGCGGCCAUGUCGGCCAUCGGGAUAAGGUGGCCAGGAAGGAGGAAAGGGAAGAAGAGGAUGUGCAGCGGCGGCUCGGCGUCCUUAGUUGGCGCCAUGGCUGCCAUCCAAGCAGGUCGCGCAGGUGAGCCGUUCCUGUGGCUAAUGAGAUCGGAUCGGAUGCUCGCGAGUUGUGAUCACCACGCAGACGAUUACUUUCCGCUGCGGCGGCGACUUUGA